GGUGUCUGGAAUGGAGGCUGAUCCAAGAUCCUUGGUCCGAAAUAUUGUGUUUCUGUGUUUGUUGCCAAGGAUCUCGGACCAGGCUUCAUUCCUCACACC
rnacentral:pre_miRNA from 1 species